AGACGGAAGUACUAAAGAAAAAGAAGCAUCUGUACGUCUGGACCACUACUGACCGUGUUUGAUUCAGUUCAGGGUACUUGUCUAUAUUCUUUGUGGGGACUGGAAUAUGCAUAGCUGUAUAUUUGUAAAGUAUUGACUGCAAACAUGACUCAGGCAGAGAAAGUGCAAGACAACGGGAAGGAGAAAGACAAGGAGCGAGACAAGGAGAAAGAGAAGGAGCAACAGCGCGGCGUGAAAAGACCCAUCGCUCCUGCUGCCAUCGCAGAGCCCCUUCACGAGCAAAUACAGAGCAAUUUUGUAAUUGUUAUCCACCCUGGAUCGAGGGCACUCCGCAUUGGCCGAGCAACAGACACUCUUCCUGUGACAGUUCCACAUGUUAUAGCCCGCAGACACAAGCAAAGUGGGCAGCCCAAAUUUGAAGACGACUGGCUGUUGAGGGCAGGUCUAGAUAAACCAGAGAGCAAAGAGCAGAGGCAGAAUGGGCUUAAAAUGGUUGACCAAGCCAUAUGGUCCAAGAAGAUGUCGAAUGGGGUGAGGAGAACACCUGCAUCCACUGAACAGUCAAGAGCUUAUAACUGUCAGAUCAACCCAGCAGUUCUAGACAGCAGCACCAGGGUGAGGUGGACCAACACAGCCCAACAUCAGUCUUAUCUGGUGGGAGAGGAGGCCAUUAAUGUGAAUCCAACUGACUGUUACAACAUCCACUGGCCUAUUAUGAGAGGUCAGCUCAAUGUACAUGCAGGUCCUGGAGGAUCACUGCCUGCUGUCCUGGCCGACCUGGAGACAAUCUGGAGCCAUACGAUUCAAAAGCAACUGGAUAUCUCCCUUAAAGACUUGAAGUAUUACAGAUGCAUUCUACUAGUUCCAGACAUCUGCAACAGGCAACACAUAAAAGAAGUUGUCAACAUGCUGCUGCUUAAAAUGGGCUUCUCAGCAAUCAUAGUGCACCAGGAAUCAGUGUGCGCCACGUUUGGCAGUGGUUUGAGCAGUGCAUGUGUCGUGGAUGUAGGAGACCAAAAGACGAGUGUUUGUUGUGUAGAGGAUGGAGUUUCCCAUCGCAACUCCAGGCUGUGUUUAGCAUACGGUGGCUCAGAUGUUACUCGUACGUUCUUCUGGCUCCUGCAGAGAGCAGGUUUUCCCUACAGAAACUGUCAGCUGUCCAGCAGACUGGACUGUCAGCUUCUGCAACACCUGAAAGAGACCUUCUGCCAUUUAAACCAAGAUAUAUCAGGACUACAGGAUCAUGAAUUCCAGACACGUUUCCCAGAAGCACCUGCUCUUCUCUACCAGGUUCGACUGGGAGAUGAGAAAUUAGAGGCACCUAUGGGUCUUUUCUAUCCGACGACAUUUGGCAUUGUUGGUCAGAAGAUGACACUGCUUCAGUACCGUUCCCAAGGUGACUCUGAAGAUCCUCAUGAUGAACAUUACUUGCUUGCUACACAGAGCAAACAGGACCAGUCCUCCAAAUCUGCUACAGACCGGAAGGCUAUUUCCCGACCAUGUGGAGGUUUGGAUGGAGACAUGAGUGGUCAAGGGGGGAUCGGAGACCUCUCUGACCUUCCAAGGGGCUGUGGGAGCAGCAGUAGUGGAGGAGUGACGAAGGGAGACUUGGAGCUUGGGACUGCACAAGGGGAAUGCCUUAUGGGGGCAGGAGAGGUGGAAGAGGCCCAGUCCGCUAACUGCUCCAGGAAGACUGCUAUCAUCAGCCAGUUUGAAAGCAAAGCACUGGGCCUGGAUAAGGCCAUCCUGCACAGCAUUGACUGCUGUGGUAAGGACCAAGACGCAAACAUCAGAUGAGACCAAACGUAAGAUGUACAGCUCCAUCCUGGUAGUGGGAGGUGGGCUCAUGUUCCACGGUGCACAGGAGUUUCUGCUUCACCGCAUCAUCAACAAGAUGCCACCAUCAUUUCGAAGACUGGUGGACAAUGUGGAAGUCAUUAUACGGCCAAAGGACAUGGACCCGUGGCUGAUUUCAUGGAAGGGGGGGGCAGUGUUGGCAUGUUUGGACACCACCCAGGAGAUGUGGAUCCAUCAAGGAGAGUGGCAGCGCUUUGGUGUUCGAAUGCUGCGUGAGAGAGCUGCCUUUGUUUGGUGAUACCAUAAAGAAUUUAGCUAAAUCCAGGCCUUCUCAGGAGAUGAAGAUAUUAAAAAAAACAGACUGAAGGUUCAUAUUUUGAGGUUUAUCAUAAACAUGGAGAAACAUUAAGGUUAAAAUAAUUCAUGAAGAAUUCACCCCCUAAAAAUGAUACAACUUUUACAAUAGAAAUAGUAAUGCUGGGGUUGAGUAUCUUGAAGCAAAAGUUUACAUUGGGACACUGAAUGGUGUGAAUGUAUUUUUAUUAAAGCAGUUUGAGAAAUGCA